UAAGGAAUAUUGGACAAUGGGCGGAAGCCUGAUCCAGCCAUGCCGCGUGGAGGACGAAGGCGCUCAGCGUUGUAAACUCCUUUUGAGUGGGAACAAAACCCCGGACUUGUCCGGGCCUGAGGGUACCACUAGAAUAAGCACCGGCUAACUCCGUGCCAGCAGCCGCGGUAAUACGGAGGGUGCGAGCGUUAUCCGGAAUCACUGGGUUUAAAGGGUGCGUAGGCGGCCCUUCAAGUCAGUCGUGAAAUCGCUGGGCUCAACCCAUGCAAUUGCGAUUGAUACUGUUGGGCUUGAAUGGGGUUCAGGCAGGCGGAAUGUGGCAUGUAGCGGUGAAAUGCUUAGAUAUGCCAUAGAACACCGAUUGCGAAGGCAGCUUGCUGGGCCUUGAUUGACGCUGAGG
rnacentral:rRNA from 1 species